rnacentral:tRNA from 1 species
GUGGUAGUGGUCUAAAGGCAAGAUAGAUGCUCGCCAAGCAUUUGAUGAGGGUUCAAUUCCCUCCUACCGCU